rnacentral:piRNA from 1 species
UUGGUGGCACCACAUGCUUUGGACUU